AUUGAACGCUGGCGGCAUGCCUUACACAUGCAAGUCGAACGGCAGCGGGGGAGAAGCUUGCUUUUCCUGCCGGCGAGUGGCGAACGGGUGAGUAAUACAUCGGAACGUGCCCUGUAGUGGGGGAUAACUAGUCGAAAGAUUAGCUAAUACCGCAUACGACCUGAGGGUGAAAGUGGGGGACCGCAAGGCCUCAUGCUAUAGGAGCGGCCGAUGUCUGAUUAGCUAGUUGGUGGGGUAAGGGCCUACCAAGGCGACGAUCAGUAGCUGGUCUGAGAGGACGAUCAGCCAAACUGGGACUGGGACACGGCCCAGACUCCUACGGGGGGCAGCAGUGGGGAAUUUUGGACAAUGGGCGAAAGCCUGAUCCAGCAAUGCCGCGUGUGUGAAGAAGGCCUUCGGGUUGUAAAGCACUUUUGUCCGGAAAGAAAUGGCUCUGGUUAAUACCUGGGGUCGAUGACGGUACCGGAAGAAUAAGGACCGGCUAACUACGUGCCAGCCGCCGCAGUAA
rnacentral:rRNA from 1 species